GGGACACGUGGUAUCCUGUCUGAAUAUGGGGGGACCAUCCUCCAAGGCUAAAUACUCCUGACUGACCGAUAGUGAACCAGUACCGUGAGGGAAAGGCGAAAAGAACCCCGGCGAGGGGAGUGAAAAAGAACCUGAAACCGUGUACGUACAAGCAGUGGGAGCACGCUUAGGCGUGUGACUGCGUACCUUUUGUAUAAUGGGUCAGCGACUUAUAUUCUGUAGCAAGGUUAACCGAAUAGGGGAGCCGAAGGGAAACCGAGUCUUAACUGGGCGUUAAGUUGCAGGGUAUAGACCCGAAACCCGGUGAUCUAGCCAUGGGCAGGUUGAAGGUUGGGUAACACUAACUGGAGGACCGAACCGACUAAUGUUGAAAAAUUAGCGGAUGACUUGUGGCUGGGGGUGAAAGGCCAAUCAAACCGGGAGAUAGCUGGUUCUCCCCGAAAGCUAUUUAGGUAGCGCCUCGUGAAUUCAUCUCCGGGGGUAGAGCACUGUUUCGGCAAGGGGGUCAUCCCGACUUACCAACCCGAUGCAAACUGCGAAUACCGGAGAAUGUUAUCACGGGAGACACACGGCGGGUGCUAACGUCCGUCGUGAAGAGGGAAACAACCCAGACCGCCAGCUAAGGUCCCAAAGUCAUGGUUAAGUGGGAAACGAUGUGGGAAGGCCCAGACAGCCAGGAUGUUGGCUUAGAAGCAGCCAUCAUUUAAAGAAAGCGUAAUAGCUCACUGGUCGAGUCGGCCUGCGCGGAAGAUGUAACGGGGCUAAACCAUGCACCGAAGCUGCGGCAGCGACGCUUAUGCGUUGUUGGGUAGGGGAGCGUUCUGUAAGCCUGCGAAGGUGUGCUGUGAGGCAUGCUGGAGGUAUCAGAAGUGCGAAUGCUGACAUAAGUAACGAUAAAGCGGGUGAAAAGCCCGCUCGCCGGAAGACCAAGGGUUCCUGUCCAACGUUAAUCGGGGCAGGGUGAGUCGACCCCUAAGGCGAGGCCGAAAGGCGUAGUCGAUGGGAAACAGGUUAAUAUUCCUGUACUUGGUGUUACUGCGAAGGGGGGACGGAGAAGGCUAUGUUGGCCGGGCGACGGUUGUCCCGGUUUAAGCGUGUAGGCUGGUUUUCCAGGCAAAUCCGGAAAAUCAAGGCUGAGGCGUGAUGACGAGGCACUACGGUGCUGAAGCAACAAAUGCCCUGCUUCCAGGAAAAGCCUCUAAGCAUCAGGUAACAUCAAAUCGUACCCCAAACCGACACAGGUGGUCAGGUAGAGAAUACCAAGGCGCUUGAGAGAACUCGGGUGAAGGAACUAGGCAAAAUGGUGCCGUAACUUCGGGAGAAGGCACGCUGAUAUGUAGGUGAAGUCCCUCGCGGAUGGAGCUGAAAUCAGUCGAAGAUACCAGCUGGCUGCAACUGUUUAUUAAAAACACAGCACUGUGCAAACACGAAAGUGGACGUAUACGGUGUGACGCCUGCCCGGUGCCGGAAGGUUAAUUGAUGGGGUCAGCGCAAGCGAAGCUCUUGAUCGAAGCCCCGGUAAACGGCGGCCGUAACUAUAACGGUCCUAAGGUAGCGAAAUUCCUUGUCGGGUAAGUUCCGACCUGCACGAAUGGCGUAAUGAUGGCCAGGCUGUCUCCACCCGAGACUCAGUGAAAUUGAACUCGCUGUGAAGAUGCAGUGUACCCGCGGCAAGACGGAAAGACCCCGUGAACCUUUACUAUAGCUUGACACUGAACAUUGAGCCUUGAUGUGUAGGAUAGGUGGGAGGCUUUGAAGUGUGG
rnacentral:rRNA from 1 species